rnacentral:lncRNA from 1 species
UGAUUCAUUCCACUAGUGUUUAGACCUGAGCACUGAUCCACAUGUUCGACAUCUGAAUAUGCACUUACCAAUAAUACUUAGGACUAAAAAGAACAAGCAGAGGGUUUUGUCAUCAUAAUGUAACCAGAAAGAAGUGACACACAUAGCUGAUAGUAAGAAGUAAUCUGCUUUGGUUUAUUCAAAAUCAAAUUUCCUAAAAGAAUGAAAAUAUAUAAGGUAUUAACAUAUAAUUGCUAACCAUACAAUUUCGGGGUGUUUUGCUAUCUUUUGAAAUGUUAAUUCCUGCUUCUACUAGUCAUCUGAUGCUGCUUCUGGUAGUUUUUUUUUCCAAUUAAAAUUAUUUUAGAUCAAACCAAUCCUUUCUAGAAAUGACACACAUUUCAAGAGAAUAGGAGUGAAAACCAGCACACUGUAGGGACUCACCACAUUAGCUACUGAUACAUGAAAGCUUUAAUCUCAAAAGAAUUUAAUAAUCCAUGAAAAACAUUUCAAGUAAAUAUUUCAAAAAGACAUCUAAAAAUUAGGAUGCCAGUAAACAAUUCUAAUUAAAUAUAAUCCUUCCCUAAAGAUUUCUCAGUACUGUAAAAUGCUUAAGGGACAAAAGUUUCUUUGUAAACAUUUGUUGAUAAAUCCAAAGAAAAGUAUAAUAUUCACGGGACUCUGACCUUCUGUGUAACAUACAAAAAUCAAAAUAAGAUAUCAAUAAUAGUGAAGACCUAAACCUAACAAAGAUGUACUUUUCCCUAACAACAAUAAGCCUUGUAUUCUCAAACAGAACACUGUUAUGAUAUGAGCAAAAGCCAAACAGUGUGGGCUGAGUAAUACUAACUCAGUCUGUCUUGUUUUUCUUUGUUACAUACUGGGACACAGAUUAGCACAUUUUGAUGCGAACUUAGAAGGUAACAUUAAGAAAUUAGAUGUGAGGUCAUAACUUUCUAUUUUAAUUUGCGACUCUGGACCUUAAUGCAGCAUUGCAUUGCACAUCUCUCUCCUUAUGUCUAAAGAAUAGCACUGGCAAAAGUGUGCUGAAAGUCCCUAAAAAUGGCAUCUCUGUGUAUGUGUGUGUGUGGCGGUGGAGUGGGGGAACAGCAACCCUG